rnacentral:rRNA from 1 species
GAUGAACGCUGGCGGCGUGCCUAAUACAUGCAAGUCGAGCGAACAGACGAGGAGCUUGCUCCUUUGAUGUUAGCGGCGGACGGGUGAGUAACACGUAGGUAGCCUACCUAUAAGACUGGGAUAACUUCGGGAAACCGGAGCUAAUACCGGAUAAUAUUUCGAACCGCAUGGUUCGAUAGUGAAAGAUGGCUUUGCUAUCACUUAUAGAUGGACCUGCGCCGUAUUAGCUAGUUGGUAAGGUAACGGCUUACCAAGGCAACGAUACGUAGCCGACCUGAGAGGGUGAUCGCCCACCCUGGAGCUGGGCCACGGUCCAGACUCCUACGGGAGGCAGCAGUAGGGAAUCUUCCGCAAUGGGCGAAAGCCUGACGGAGCGACGCCGCGUGAGUGAUGAAGGUCUUCGGAUCGUAAAACUCUGUUAUUAGGGAAGAACAAACGUGUAAGUAACUGUGCACGUCUUGACGGUACCUAAUCAGAAAGCCACGGCUAACUACGUG